rnacentral:rRNA from 1 species
UAAGAAGGGGGCUAGCGUUGUUCGGAAUUACUGGGCGUAAAGCGCACGAAGGCGGACUGAUAAGUCAGGGGUGAAAUCCCGGGGCUCAACCCCGGAACUGCCUUUGAUACUGUUAGUCUAGAGGUCGAGAGAGGUGAGUGGAAUUCCGAGUGUAGAGGUGAAAUUCGUAGAUAUUCGGAGGAACACCAGUGGCGAAGGCGGCUCACGGGCGCGAUAAUGACUAUGAUGUGCGAAAGCAUGGGGAGCAAACAGG